rnacentral:rRNA from 1 species
AAAUUGAAGAGUUUGAUCAUGGCUCAGAUUGAACGCUGGCGGCAGGCCUAACACAUGCAAGUCGAGCGGUAACACAGGGAGCUUGCUCCCGGGUGACGAGCGGCGGACGGGUGAGUAAUGUCUGGGAAACUGCCUGAUGGAGGGGGAUAACUACUGGAAACGGUAGCUAAUACCGCAUAACGUCGCAAGACCAAAGAGGGGGACCUUCGGGCCUCUUGCCAUCAGAUGUGCCCAGAUGGGAUUAGCUAGUAGGUGGGGUAACGGCUCACCUAGGCGACGAUCCCUAGCUGGUCUGAGAGGAUGACCAGCCACACUGGAACUGAGACACGGUCCAGACUCCUACGGGAGGCAGCAGUGGGGAAUAUUGCACAAUGGGCGCAAGCCUGAUGCAGCCAUGCCGCGUGUAUGAAGAAGGCCUUCGGGUUGUAAAGUACUUUCAGCGGGGAGGAAGG